rnacentral:rRNA from 1 species
GCAGGCCGCCAAUAAAGAUGUCGCAAACCUCCCUGGGCAAAUCUCUCUCCGUCUCCAGCUCGGCACCUCGUCUAGAGCGGCGCGCCCGAGGCGGCCGGGGGCCGACCCGGACCACGCAGGACGGCCGGUGGUCGCUGGAGGAGCAGCCACUCAUGCACGUCGUCGGGCCUCUCCACGGGUUCCGACCUAGAGCGUCUUGUUCCUGUACUCCAUGAACCCGUACCUUACCCUUAGUGUUAACAAGACCACCUUUACUUCUUACAGGACAAUAAACCGACGAUGGUAGCUACAAGAAAGUCUAACUUGUAACGGUACUAGCAAAGAGAUGCGUUGCUUAUAUAAUCUAGUUCGUAGUACAGUACCUGUGGUAUUCUGAAAAGACGCAACUAUCACUACAGAUGCCCAACCUAACACGAAGACAAAUAGUCGAGUGACUUCAUUGAGAGGAUCGAGUUUACCCAAUUAGAAGACCUAUAUACGAAUGCAUAUUAUUUACUACACUUCUAUCUAGUAUCCUGUUUUGGUAUUAGAAAUCAGAAUUCGUUCAAUCCCAUUUGAUCUCUUCAUCUCUAUCUUGUGUUGUCUUCGGUGUGUGUGUUUACUGUACCUUUCGUCGUUUCUUUAUCAUUUUCUUCGAGAACUGAACAUCUAAUACAGUUUCACUAUUAGAUCUCAGUUCGAAGAAAAUGAUAAUCAAAGCUAGAUGGAACAGUAGAUAUCCUAAUCAAUAAUAUAGAUUCAUACAAAAGUCUUCUAAUCUUCUAAUUCGUUCCAGUGAACUAUCCAUUUGACUAUCGGCUUACAAAACAAAUAGUACCUUUUGGUCUCUAAUCGGAUAAAUUCGAGCCACUAUCUCAAUGAGUUACUCUAGUAUUUAUCUUCGUACUAAGUUGGUUAUCUGUAGUUAAACUACUUACUUACUUUUUAGAAUAACACAAUACUAUACUACUAACUAGGUUAUACAAAAACGGUUCACUUCUUUUUGUGAUUGUAACGUGACUCACUUUCGCUAGAUAUGUUUCCGUUCUAAACUUAUAAUAGGUGGGCUUUCUCUUACAGUCUAUACUGGUGGUAGUCUUCUUCGUUGUUACGGUGUUCACUCGAGAGAACAUAUAGGUGCACGAUAACAGCUAAGUCACAGCGCAUACAACUCGCAAAUACAAGAUGUACACAAUCUAAAUCUUAUCACACCACUCGUGAAGGUAAGAACGGUUAACUCUACCACUCCGAGUCCUUGUGACGUAAACGGUACCACAAAACUAAACAGAAGACGUCGUUGUACUUUGAGAGUAACAUUAACAUGGGUGAAUACGGACUUAUGACGAUAAUGAAGUCAAUCUGAGUUCUUCGUGGUUCAAAGACGUCGCGAGGACGUAAAACGAUUACUACUUGAAGGAAGAGGUAAAGAAAGAAAACAUUCCUUCUCAAUACAUGAUUACUACAUACUGACCGACCAAUUAAUAGACAGUUAAGUUGUUGGUCAAACAUACGACCGGUCACGUUAA